rnacentral:lncRNA from 1 species
GUCCGGCUCCUAAACACCUGAUUUACAACUACGACUAACCGAGGUGUGCUGUACUUGUAAUAACCACACUGGAUUUUGAAGUCUUGGCAUAAGUAAAAGAUUAUCUCCUUAAUAAUUUUCAUGUUGAUUAUAUGUUGAAACGAUAGCAUGUUGGAUGUACAGGGUUAAAUAAAAUACAAUGUUAAAUUUAAGUUUGCUUCUUUUUCUCUUAUCUGCUAGGAAAUUGAGGAUGACCUCAGUGACUCCUGUUCUGUCCCUGCUGGAGGGUACCGCAGCCCACCUCCCAUGAAUGCCUGUUUGGAACGCGGACUCUGCAGUGUUCCUGGAGCAGAAAAGGGCCACCCCUGCAUCUCACACACAACUUCAGGGCCUGAGGCCUUUCCGAAACCCAGCCAGCAAGCCCUGCAGGAGCAUCUCCUCGGCCCGAUUCCGCGUCAGCAGCUGAGUACCAUGCACUGGGGUGAGGGUACCACCGUCCCCGAUCAAGGUGACCCCUCACACUCCCUGAGUUCUCGGACAGUCAAAGCCCGCAGAGCAUGCCCGUG